rnacentral:rRNA from 1 species
GAUGAACGCUGGCGGCGUGCCUAAUACAUGCAAGUCGAGCGAACAGACGAGGAGCUUGCUCCUCUGACGUUAGCGGCGGACGGGUGAGUAACACGUGGAUAACCUACCUAUAAGACUGGGAUAACUUCGGGAAACCGGAGCUAAUACCGGAUAAUAUAUUGAACCGCAUGGUUCAAUAGUGAAAGACGGUUUUGCUGUCACUUAUAGAUGGAUCCGCGCCGCAUUAGCUAGUUGGUAAGGUAACGGCUUACCAAGGCGACGAUGCGUAGCCGACCUGAGAGGGUGAUCGGCCACCCUGGAACUGAGCCACGGUCCACACUCCUACGGGAGGCAGCAGUAGGGAAUCUUCCGCAAUGGGCGAAAGCCUGACGGAGCAACGCCGCGUGAGUGAUGAAGGUCUUCGGAUCGUAGAACUCUGUUAUUAGGGAAGAACAAAUGCGUAAGUAACUAUGCACGUCUUGACGGUACCUAAUCAGAAAGCCACGGCUAACUACGUG